rnacentral:lncRNA from 1 species
AGGCCUGAAUUCCACUCUCCAUCCUAUAUCUGAAUUUGGAGGGGGUGGUUUAAAUCUCAUUGUCUGCCAGUUUGUAGACUGAAUAUUCUCAAAAUGGUCGGAUUCAUUUGCAUCAUCUAGAUGUAUUUUCUCCUCAAACAAAGUCAAUGGGUCUCGAAUAAACAAGUGUGCAAUAUGCUGUGCCAAAAGGUGGUCAAUACCUUCCUUUAUUAGGUGCUCGUAGAUAUCUUUGUCUAUUGUCAAAUCAAUGUCAUUGUAUUUUUCACCACAUUCAGAUAGAUAACUGUCUAUGGAAUCAUAUCUGGAUUUACUGAUUCUAUAAUGGUUGUUCUUCAGUGGCUCUAGCCCCCGCUCUUCUCGCGUUCGAUCAUCUACAGAUGCAGAUAUUACUCCCCAG